GCAAUGACUGUGGAUGCCAACUGCAACAAAACUCCACCAACGAAGAAGAAGACUGUCGAUGACGUUGACCGUCGUCACCUGUGGCACAAUUUGUUGUUUUAAAUCUUUAAAUAUGUGCACUCCUUCAACUACUGCAACUUUAUUGUGAUAAACAAAGACUCAUUCAACAGCUUGUUGACGGCUCACUUUGUUACUUUAGUCAGGGCUGGAAGGAAUGGGGAGUUGCCAGACGGUAAUAUCAAAUCGUCGGAUGCUAGCUGCUAACAGUGAAGAAGGUGUGUUGGACAAUGAUGAGGAUGAGGAGAAGGACAUCGAAGAAGUCUGCCCGAAUAUUCUACAAUAACAUGGAAAUGGCAGCCAAAUUCCUGUGGAAUGAAUGAAGAGGAAAUCUGCGAGUGGCAGCCCGCGCCACCAGAUCGCUGUGAAAGGAGAAGGGUGGAAAAGCCGAGGCCUUUCCUCUGGCGUGGACCUGGGCCAGGGCUCACUAGUGUGUUGUAGAUGGGGGUAGUGGCUGGAUGCGGGGAUUUCCUGUGGAAAUAAUAAUUAACCACAACAUGCACACAGGGCCUUGGCUCUCCCACUAAAUAUUGUCUUUUACAAGCGACCAGAGCACACAGAGGAAGAGUUACAGCGCCUCUCAAAUGAAACAGGCUUGAGUGAUAAAUCUCCGGCGCUAAUGCACACGCUUAAGAGUUUUUGACUGUAAAUAAAGUCAUGGGAGACAUGCUGUACUUACAUGGGAAAAGCCUGGAGGAAAUGACCGCCCCCCCUUUGGAAGAACAUAUGGGUGUGUAUGUCUUCAGCCAAUCAGGCUGCAUGUUUAAAAUGCCUCUUCUUUCUGGGAGACCUCAAGAAAGCCUCAUUGCAGCCUAAUCACUCUUUUUUUGUGUGGUCUAAUAUAACUAAACAUUUCACAAAUUAUAACCCAACAUUACAGGACUCAUAUUUAUUAAAAACAUCUCCUCUUAUAAUUAAAACAAAACAAAACACGUACAUUAUUUCAGCAAUAAGAGCAGCAGAGCAAACAACCAUUUCUAUGCUUGUCAGAUAACUGGGAUGGUGUCCAUUUCUGGGUCAAUAUAUUUUUCUUCCCUGUGAUCAUCAAAGCACCAUCCAUCUCUCUGAGCAAACACAGGUGACACCUUAAUUGCCUCUAAUAAUACAUUCAUCCUGUCAAAACCAGGUGAGAGUCAAUCGUUUCCACUGCAGCUAUUGAUGUUUACACCUUAUUAGUGUUCAUACAAUGAAGACACAAAGAUGUUAGAUACCUCUGAGGAUAAUCAGAUGAGGUGACAGUUUACCUCAAUCAUGGUGUUAGAGUUGCUUCCAUUCAUUGUAUUUUUAUGUUCAAUCACACUACUAUACAAGAAACUAAUAACAAACUGCAAUCUUGUACAGCAUUGCACAAAUUUAAGAUGCAACAUGACCACUUGUACACAGAUACCGUUAUCAAGUAAAUAUCGGCUGAAAUUGCUCCGUGACCACAUCAAAACAAAACCAGUUCUUUUUAUGUUUUUUUCU